UACGAAGGGGGCUAGCGUUGCUCGGAAUUACUGGGCGUAAAGGGAGCGUAGGCGGGUCGUUAAGUUGGGGGUGAAAGCCCGGGGCUCAACCUCGGAAAUGCCUUCAAUACUGGCGACCUUGAGUGUGGGAGAGGUGAGUGGAACUCCGAGUGUAGAGGUGAAAUUCGUAGAUAUUCGGAAGAACACCAGUGGCGAAGGCGACUCACUGGCCCAUUACUGACGCUGAGGCUCGAAAGCGUGGGGAG
rnacentral:rRNA from 1 species